AAAUGUGAAGGUGAUAUAACUGUGACAUCUGUCACCCAAACACUGGCAGGUGCAUUUUGUCGCUCCAGCUAGCUAAAUGAAUGCACCUUCUUCCCUCACCAGCCUAUAUGUGUGCUUCCUGAAGCCACCUGUUAGGACAAAGAGAAUGACAUUAUCUAACAGAGAAGAACUGCUAUUCUGUGGUGGAUGUACAAGUAACCAUUCUCCCCUGCUAGAACCUCCAAACAAGCUCUCUAAUCUCACUUGUAAAAUAACAUAAGAUAGUCAAGCUCUUUUUUUUUCCUUUUUUCUUUUUAAUUUUGGUUGGUCGUG
rfam:Dipodomys ordii contig_52419, whole genome shotgun sequence.